rnacentral:rRNA from 1 species
ACUCCUACGGGAGGCAGCAGUGGGGAAUCUUGGACAAUGGGGGCAACCCUGAUCCAGCCAUGCCGCGUGAGUGAUGAAGGCCUUAGGGUCGUAAAGCUCUUUCGCCUGUGAUGAUAAUGACAGUAGCAGGUAAAGAAACCCCGGCUAACUCCGUGCCAGCAGCCGCGGUAAUACGGAGGGGGGUUAGCGUUGUUCGGAAUUACUGGGCGUAAAGCGCGCGUAGGCGGAUUAGUCAGUUAGAGGUGAAAUCCCAGGGCUCAACCCUGGAACUGCCUUUAAUACUGCUAGUCUUGAGUUCGAGAGAGGUGAGUGGAAUUCCGAGUGUAGAGGUGAAAUUCGUAGAUAUUCGGAGGAACACCAGUGGCGAAGGCGGCUCACUGGCUCGAUACUGACGCUGAGGUGCGAAAGUGUGGGGAGCAAACAGGAUUAGAUACCCUGGUAGGAUAGCG